GAGAGAGAGAGAGAGGAGAGAGAGAGGCAGAUUGGGAAAGAAUAGUGAUAAGCUCUUUAAUGAAUUUUUCCUUCGUAAAUUUCGUUAUCAGUUUCGUUAAUAGUAACAUUAAAUUUUCUUACAACAGUAUAGUCUUAAAAUCAGUUAGAUAUUUUCGGUGUAAAUUUAUCUACGAUCUGUGAGUGGACGGUAUAUCUGAUAAGUGGCCAACUGAUUUGUUUACCCUGAUAACAACACACUCACACACACACACAUAUACGUAUAUAUACAUAUCAAAGUAAGCGGAGACGAAAGUUUUGGGUUUCGAUACAGCUGUUCAGUGACUAGCUUUACUCGUAUCUAAAUUUCAGUGGCAUAAGAGAUGUGGAGAAUAAAAUGUAUCCUCAGUGUAAGCUUGAUUGCAGUAAGUCUUCACUUGUAUAUCCCAACGAUAUCUGCAAGAGAUGUGUCUUUUGAUUCGUUUGUUUUCUCACAACAAUGGCUACCAACUUUUUGUAUGCAUGCAACAGAAGAGGUAAGAAUAGCUUGUAAAAUUCCAGACAUGGUGAAAAACUGGGUAAUCCAUGGAAUUUGGCCUGAAUCCUCUAAGAAACCAGAUCCUCCAGCUUUCUGCAAUUCCAGUUGGCACUUUAAUGAAUCAGAUAUCAAGUCCAUCGAGGAUGAACUGAAAAUACGUUGGCCUAAUGUCUUCACUUCUACAGGAAGGACCUCAUUUUGGAAACAUGAAUGGGAAAAACAUGGAACUUGUGCUGUGGACAAACCCUAUAUCUUCAAUGAGAAAUCUUACUUUGAGAUGGGGAUCAAACUUAACAAGCAAUAUAACCUUAGACAUAUUUAUGAAAGGAGUGGCAUUAUUGCAGUGAACUAUACAUCUUACAAGUGUGAAGACUUCAGAAAUGUAAUCAAAAAAAAUUGGAAUGUUGAGUCUAUUAUAACCUGUGUUCACAGUAAGGAACACAGACAAUAUAUCUUGCAGACUGAAAUUUGUUUUGAUAAAAGUUUCAAACCAAUAGACUGUAAACGGGAUCAAAAAUGCCUUCAAUGCUCACAAAAAGAGAACAUUUGGUAUCCCCCAUUAGAGAACACAGCUACACCUGCUGUUGAAUUGCUGACAUAGGAAGAGAAAUCCACUUCAAUGAUACCCAUCUGUGCAAUAAGAAGGUGCAUCUCCUUUCUUUAUUCUAAAUUUACAUUUACAUAAUACAUUGUGAAGUGUAUUUUAUUUCAUUUGUCUUCAUUUAAUUUUUAAAUAUGAAGUUAUAUUUUAUGCUGGACUCACAAUACACCUUUUAAUAAUAAUAAUAAUAAUAAUAAUAAUAAUAAAUAAUUAAGGUAUAGAGCCAAUGAUUUUGAAAGGAGAAGUCACUUGAUUAAAUUACUCCCAGAUUGUGACUGUUACAUUAUUUUCUCACUCCCAGAGAUAGAAGGUAAAGUAGAUCUUGACAGGAUUUGAAAUCAAAAUCUUAAAAGCCAAUGCUUUUUGAUUCUACCAAUAAUAAAACUAUGAUAGUAUUUUGAACAGGAAUGGGGAGGUGCCUGAUUACAUGUAAUGAAAAUGCAGAAUAGAUCAAAAUAGUUGAGAUGGAACUGAGCAAUACAAAGAAGUAAAUACCAUUCUCUAUAACUAGGGACAAUGUCCUGAAGCAGUAAAAGACACUACCAAACUGGAGAACCCCAAGAGCAAAUAGGAUCCAAGGACUUUGAAUAGAACAUUUGAAAUCCUUUCAUGGUCAAAUCAGAAAUCAUCCAAAUGAAGUAGAAAAAUUAUUGCUCAGUCAGCUUCCUCUGUUACUAAGAGGCAUUUUAUGCAGAUCAGAUUGCUGUUAGCAGACUGCUGCUAUAAAGAAUGCAAUAAACAUUCAAAAGACAUUGAAGACCAUCAACAAAAUAAUAGUGAAACAUCAAGAGACUAAUCUGUGCAGGAUGUGGGUCAACUUCAAAAAAGCCUGUGGUGUACUGCUGCAUUCUUGAAUUAUAGUAUGACUUUGAAUGUUCAGCAUAGCUGAAUAGGUCAUUAUUAGACAGAAGCAAAUGCCGGUCAUUUAUAUAUGGGAUGCAAGGUUAAAGGGAGAUAACUUUUAAAGUAUUUUCUGUUGUGUCUGGGUAGAGUUAUUUUCUUUUUGUGCCUUAUAAUAUAACACAUGCACCGGUAAAAUUUCCACUUAUUUCUUAUUUUUAUUUUCCUAAAAUUUUUGUUGCGUCUUGCAACCUUUUCAAUAGUCUUGACUCUUAAAGUAUUUCUGAUUGUAAAUGAAGUGCAACUGUCAGUUGAACCAUAUCUUGCAAAAAAUAAAGAACUACUUGAACCUAUCGCAAAAGAACUAGAACUUGUUUACGUUGAAUUUGAAGAAAAUUAUAUACAAUAAAUUGUAAAAGAAAGGAAGCAAUAGAGAAAAAUGCAGUUUUAUGGAAAGUUCCUCAGAGAUGCUGAGAGUGAGAAAUUCAAGACUCAUCAUGAAGAGUAAAAUAGAAAGUUUGUUGGCAGCUGUUCCAGAUCAAGCCUCAAAUACUAAUUCAGUGAAUAAAGGUAUUUAUUUUUCCCACUUCAGGGAAUAAAUGCCAGUUAUGUAAUCACCAAGUGGAAAACAUUGACCACAUUGUAACAGGCCGUAAAAUAUUAGCUAAGAAAGAAUACAAAUGAUGGCAUGUUAAUGUCUGUCUUAAUUUACACCAAUCACUUUGGUGCAUGCAUGCAUAUGUGUGUAUGGAUACCCAGUUCAUUAUUUUUCAUGCCUUCAUAAGAUCUAUGCACAAACUCCAAAAUAGG
rnacentral:misc_RNA from 1 species